UCCACAACAACAGAAUCCCAAAACAACAGUCCUCAGCUGCACACGACGUUUAGCAACCUGUAGCAGCAAACGCGGAUAUAAACAGGUGUUUUUUUUUUUUUUUUAAUUCACUCACGUUUGGAGAGACACUUGGUCCAAAAGGAAGGUUUCUGUUGUGAGCCAGUGGAGCUGUGAAAUGAUUCUCUCUCUAUUCUGCCCCGAUUCCUUUCAAAUCGUUCAACGGGGCUUCCAACCGGAAAUGACUGAGCUCGGUGGCCAUGCUGUCAGAGGAUGUAUUCUCCAAAAGGAAAUGGGGCGUGUUGGAUAAGUGUCUUGGAGAACAGCUGGAUGGAUCACAGUCCUUUUUUUGUGUUGAAAAUGAAGGCUGUGAAGGCUCAGACCGCUGGUUGAGACCAAUCGGCCUAAUGACUCGUAGCACAUGUUCCCACAUUCCUGAUCAUGCUUCUGCAACACGUUAUCUGUCGUCAUUGUGUUUGGGCGACAUUACGACGAGACUUUACAAUCACGGACUUAAAAUGAUGGAAGGCCUCCAUUGAAGUAAAAAAAAAAAAAAGAAAAAAAAAAAACUCCAACACAAUAUCAGAAGGUAGAUGGAGAAAAUAAUGAAAAAUGAAACCCAUACUCACCUGCAGAUAUCUUGGAACAAUGCUGACAAAUGGCAGCAGCAGCCCGGCUGUGCUGUUUUCAUCAGAUCACAUCGUCUAUCUCACAGCGGCACCUGUCUCAGCUACCCCAUCAAAUUUCAGCAGCCCGCUGUCCUUGAGGCAAGCAGGCAGCAGCCAAAUUAUUUCCAGACUGGUUACUUCAAGGUGAAACAGCAACUGAGGUCUCAAUUAUUUCUCCGUGGCAUAUUCAGGACUGGAGCAGGAGAAUUGGAAAUGGAACGGCGUUAUGGAACCGAAUGGCCCCUUACCUCCUCGCCUAUUUUAACUUGGCAAUAAUUGCCCAGAUCACCUUGGUAAUACAUCUGCCUAGAAACAAUACGCUGUCCUAUAAAGCGAGCACAAACGAUCUGUUCGGGACAGACAUCUGCCAGCGGGGGACUUCAUUUUAACAAAAAAAAUAAAUAAAUAAAUAAAAAGGAUUUAAUGGCAGACGGUUUGGCUUUGAGUUUGUUUUUUAUUUUUUUGAAUUGGGAGUUCAUGACUCUUUCAUGUGGUCUUUAAAUAAAUAAAAAGCCUACAUUGA